rnacentral:rRNA from 1 species
UACGUAGGGGUGCGAGCGUUAAUCGGAAUUACUGGGCGUAAAGCGUGCGCAGGCGGUGAUGUAAGACCGAUGUGAAAUCCCCGGGCUUAACCUGGGAACUGCAUUGGUGACUGCAUUGCUGGAGUAUGGCAGAGGGGGGUGGAAUUCCACGUGUAGCAGUGAAAUGCGUAGAGAUGUGGAGGAACACCGAUGGCGAAGGCAGCCCCCUGGGCCAAUACUGACGCUCAUGCACGAAAGCGUGGGGAGCAAACAGG